AUUGAACGCUGGCGGCAGGCCUAACACAUGCAAGUCGAACGCGUGGCGGACGGGUGAGUCAUGUCUGGGACACUGCCCGAUGGAGGGGGAUAACUACUGGAAACGGUAGCUAAUACCGCAUACCAUCGGAUGUGCCCAGGUGGGAUUAGCUUGUAGGUGAGGUAACGGCUCAACUAGGCGACGAUCCCUAGCUGGUCGGAGAGGAUGACCAGCCACACUGGAACUGAGACGCGGUCCAGACUCCUACGGGAGGCAGCAGUGGGGAAUAUUGCACAAUGGGCGCAAGCCUGAUGCAGCCAUGCCGCGUGUAUGAAGAGGGCCUUCGGGCUUUAAAGUACUUUCAUCGGGGAGGCGUUACCCGCAGAAGAAGCACCGGCUAACUCCGUGCCAGCAGCCGCGGUAAUAC
rnacentral:rRNA from 1 species